AGUGAACGCUGGCGGUAGGCCUAACACAUGCAAGUCGAACGGCAGCACAGUAAGAGCUUGCUCUUACGGGUGGCGAGUGGCGGACGGGUGAGGAAUACAUCGGAAUCUACUUUUUCGUGGGGGAUAACGUAGGGAAACUUACGCUAAUACCGCAUACGACCUACGGGUGAAAGCAGGGGAUCUUCGGACCUUGCGCGAUUGAAUGAGCCGAUGUCGGAUUAGCUAGUUGGCGGGGUAAAGGCCCACCAAGGCGACGAUCCGUAGCUGGUCUGAGAGGAUGAUCAGCCACACUGGAACUGAGACACGGUCCAGACUCCUGCGGGAGGCAGCAGUGGGGAAUAUUAGACAAUGGGCGCAAACCUGAUCCAGCCAUACCACGUGGGUGAAGAAGGCCUUCGGGUUGUAAAGCCCUUUUGUUGGGAAAGAAAAGCAGCAGGUUAAUACCCCGCUGUUCUGACGGUACCCAAAGAAUAAGCACCGGCUAACUUCGUG
rnacentral:rRNA from 1 species